UAGGAAUAUUCUGCAAUGUGCGCAAGCAUGACAGAUUGAGCCAGAGUGCUUUUCAAUUGAAAAGCUUUUGUGAAAUGCAAAAAGUUUCUCGAAUAAGGACUGGGUAAGACGAGUGCCAGCCGCCGCGGUAAUACUCGCGGUCCAAGUCGCAGACAUCAUUAUUGGGUCUAAAACAUCCGUAGCUUGCUUGAUAAGUCCCCUGUGAAAUUCUGUAUCUAAAAUACAGAGCGGGCAGGGGGUACUGUUGAGCUAGAGACUGGAAGACGUAAGAAGUACGUUCGGAGUAGCGGUAAAAUGUGUUAAUCCCGGGCGGACUAACAAGAGCGAAGGCAUCUUACGAGGACAGUUCUGACAGUAAGGGAUGAAAGCUAGGGGCGCGAAAC
rnacentral:rRNA from 1 species